rnacentral:rRNA from 1 species
UACCGAAUACGAGCCUCCUGGGCAUCCAGGAGGUUGGAAAGUUCUUCGGUCAGGGAUGGACCCGCGGCCUAUCAGCUUGUUGGUGAGGUAACGGCUCACCAAGGCGACGACGGGUAGCCGGCCUGAGAGGGCGACCGGCCACACUGGGACUGAGACACGGCCCAGACUCCUACGGGAGGCAGCAGUGGGGAAUAUUGCGCAAUGGGCGAAAGCCUGACGCAGCAACGCCGCGUGAGGGAAGACGGCCUUCGGGUUGUAAACCUCUUUCAGCAGGGAAGAAGCGAAAGUGACGGUACCUGCAGAAGAAGCACCGGCUAACUACGUGCCAGCAGCCGCGGUAAUACGUAGGGUGCAAGCGUUGUCCGGAUUUAUUGGGCGUAAAGAGCUCGUAGGCGGUCAGUCACGUCGGAUGUGAAAACCCGGGGCUUAACCCCGGGCCUGCAUUCGAUACGGGCUGACUAGAGUGUUGUAGGGGAGACUGGAACUCCUGGUGUAGCGGUGAAAUGCGCAGAUAUCAGGAAGAACACCGGUGGCGAAGGCGGGUCUCUGGGCAACUACUGACGCUGAGGAGCGAAAGCGUGGGGAGCGAACAGGAUUAGAUACCCUGGUAGUCCACGCCGUAAACGGUGGGCGCUAGGUGUGGGGAACAUUCCACGUUCUCCGUGCCGCAGCUAACGCAUUAAGCGC